AUGAAAUAUGGGUGCUCAUCGAUUUUCUCUUUGUAGUUGUAGUUUUUUUGGAUUACAUCAUUAGAAAGUCAAAUUCUCAUCGUGUUGCUCCUAUUGUAUUCGUAGUUGUAAAAUAGCUUAUUGAACCCACUUUUUGUCUGGUUUCACUUCUUUCCUUGCAUUUUGUCAAUAUGCACAUGUGGUGGGAUUCUUGGAGGACACGAUUUGCCUAAUUUUUUCAAGGCUGCUGCUCAUAAAGAUAUAAGGAGUCAAAGACUCAUAAUUCGGAUGACUUGAUGCGUUUUCUGCUUUCUUAUUAUGUUCAAGGACAUGGUAGAAAACUAUGUACCUUUUGCUAAUGGAGGCAGUGGUAAAGGAACAGAUGGACAUUCUCACCAUUGGCAAAGGACCCUAUGUUGGGGUCUUGAGAAUUGCGAUGGAUCCGUGUAGAAACAUAAAGAUUCAUGGCGGGGAUUGAUGAAGAGAGGAACGGAACAUGACUUCUUACAAUAAUACAUCUCUUUCUGCUUGUUUACACUUGUGAUAAUAAUGAUAUUUUUUUGAGUUAUGAUUUCUUGACUCGGUAUAUUUCCUAGAUAUGAUAUAGUUGCUGAUGCUACAGAUAAUGCUCCGAGCCGGUUUAUGGUCGAUGAUCGCUGUGUUGGGAAAGGUAUUUUAGUGAAUUACGUCUGUUAGGAUGAGAGGUUCAGGUCCCACCUGCUCAUUAUGCCAGAUUAAGAUGUGAACAACUUGCUCAUUUAAACUGUUGCCUGGACAAAGGGAUCAUGCUCUUUUUCGUUCGAACAAUGACAACUUAAGACCUUCAAAACUUCAGUCUCAUGCUGUCUCUAUGGGAGGAUACAAAAACUGGGUCAAAGUGGGCUGUCGUAAAUAGGUGUUACUUGCCUGAUGACUUACCAGACGUUGUCGUCCUACCAUGUACACCAGGAAUUAAUGAGGUGUUGUUCGCACUCUGACAGGUAUAUGAAUCUAAUCAUGGUAGCAUGUAAGGGAAGGCCUAAUUGAGGGUCCAUGUGAAGUCUUUUCUCCAAACAAGUUUAAGUAAAGAUCUGAAAGAAGAAGUCAUAGUGAAACAGAUAAUGGGUUACAACGCAUUUCUUAUGCAAGGAUUGUCGUGUCACGCAGAGGAGUUGAACAUGUGCAAAGCAUUGAUAUCAAGUGCGUGUUUUAGGCUACAAAAAGGAGUUUCUUAUUUAAAUUUAGGUUGUCGCGUAACUCAAUUCUAUUAGUCCAGCAGUUGAUGU